CUCCGCCGGCGACCGGCGCACGGGUGAGUAACACGUAUGCAACCUGCCCCUGUCAGGGGGACAACCCGCCGAAAGCGGGCUAAACCCGCGUACAUGCCACCGGGGCAUCCCGGAGGCAGGAAAGGCUUCGGCCAGACAGGGAUGGGCAUGCGGCGCAUUAGGCAGUAGGCGGGGUAACGGCCCACCUAACCGAUGAUGCGUAGGGGUUCUGAGAGGAAGGUCCCCCACACUGGUACUGAGACACGGACCAGACUCCUACGGAAGGCAGCAG
rnacentral:rRNA from 1 species